CUUGCAUCAUGAUUUACAUUUGAGUGAGUGGCGAACUGGUGAGUAACACGUGGGAAACCUGCCCAGAAGCGGGGGAUAACACCUGGAAACAGAUGCUAAUACCGCAUAACAACUUGGACCGCAUGGUCCGAGCUUGAAAGAUGGCUUCGGCUAUCACUUUUGGAUGGUCCCGCGGCGUAUUAGCUAGAUGGUGGGGUAACGGCUCACCAUGGCAAUGAUACGUAGCCGACCUGAGAGGGUAAUCGGCCACAUUGGGACUGAGACACGGCCCAAACUCCUACGGGAGGCAGCAGUAGGGAAUCUUCCACAAUGGACGAAAGUCUGAUGGAGCAACGCCGCGUGAGUGAAGAAGGGUUUCGGCUCGUAAAACUCUGUUGUUAAAGAAGAACAUAUCUGAGAGUAACUGUUCAGGUAUUGACGGUAUUUAACCAGAAAGCCACGGCUAACUACGUGCCAGCAGCCGCGGUAAUACGUAGGUGGCAAGCGUUGUCCGGAUUUAUUGGGCGUAAAGCGAGCGCAGGCGGUUUUUUAAGUCUGAUGUGAAAGCCUUCGGCUCAACCGAAGAAGUGCAUCGGAAACUGGGAAACUUGAGUGCAGAAGAGGACAGUGGAACUCCAUGUGUAGCGGUGAAAUGCGUAGAUAUAUGGAAGAACACCAGUGGCGAAGGCGGCUGUCUGGUCUGUAACUGACGCUGAGGCUCGAAAGUAUGGGUAGCAAACAGGAUUAGAUACCCUGGUAGUCCAUACCGUAAACGAUGAAUGCUAAGUGUUGGAGGGUUUCCGCCCUUCAGUGCUGCAGCUAACGCAUUAAGCAUUCCGCCUGGGGAGUACGGCCGCAAGGCUGAAACUCAAAGGAAUUGACGGGGGCCCGCACAAGCGGUGGAGCAUGUGGUUUAAUUCGAAGCUACGCGAAGAACCUUACCAGGUCUUGACAUACUAUGCAAAUCUAAGAGAUUAGACGUUCCCUUCGGGGACAUGGAUACAGGUGGUGCAUGGUUGUCGUCAGCUCGUGUCGUGAGAUGUUGGGUUAAGUCCCGCAACGAGCGCAACCCUUAUUAUCAGUUGCCAGCAUUAAGUUGGGCACUCUGGUGAGACUGCCGGUGACAAACCGGAGGAAGGUGGGGAUGACGUCAAAUCAUCAUGCCCCUUAUGACCUGGGCUACACACGUGCUACAAUGGAUGGUACAACGAGUUGCGAACUCGCGAGAGUAAGCUAAUCUCUUAAAGCCAUUCUCAGUUCGGAUUGUAGGCUGCAACUCGCCUACAUGAAGUCGGAAUCGCUAGUAAUCGCGGAUCAGCAUGCCGCGGUGAAUACGUUCCCGGGCCUUGUACACACCGCCCGUCACACCAUGAGAGUUUGUAACACCCAAAGUCGGUGGGGUAACCUUUUAGGAACCAGCCGCCUAAGGU
rnacentral:rRNA from 1 species